ACUAGCUAAGUUGAAAGAGCGAGUGUGUCUAAAAUAUGGCUACAAAAAUGCAAAGGUUUUCAUUUUCUUGGGUCUAGUUCUUGUCUUCCUUCUGAUGUCUUCCAAGGUUUCAGCUGUUAAGGACUUGGCUGAGAAAAAAAGAGCUUCAAGGAGCCGAAGAAAUGGUUCUCCAAGAUGUUAUCUCAGUCCCUUAGUAUCCCCCUCUAAUGACAGAAAUCCAAAAGUCUAAGGGGAAUUGAUGGUGGUGAUACUAUUGGUGAUUUUUGAUGGUGAUGUUGGACCUUGUUAUACUGUUGAUCCUCAACCGUAGCUAAUAAUAACAUUACAUGUCACCAUAUGUUGGGUUUACUAACAUAAGCCUAGAUUUGUCCACCAAAUGCACAAAAUGCACCUGAGUGCAUAAUGUAUACCCUGACUGGAAAAUAGGUUUUGUCCUAAAUGCACCUGAGUGCAUGACGUAUAUUUUUUUUGAAUUUUUUGUUGUU